AUGAAUCAAAAAUCUCUCCCUGGUGCUCCCCUCCCCCUUGUUCUGCCUUUUGUUGCUGCUGCAGGCGCUGCCCCCCCUCGCCCGCUCCACCCCAUGGCCUCACGAACGGAAAAAUGUCUUCAGCAGGAACCUCCCAGCUCCUCAUUCUCUAAUCUGCAGCAUCUGUGCCCAGCCCCACGCUCCUGUGGCCUCCCCAGCUCACACUCACCAGCACGUGCAGCUCGAGCUCUCCUUGCCAGGCAGACCCACCUGGGAGCCUGCUUGCCAGAAGGAGAAAUGGCACAAGAGGAAAUACAUCUUCACAGCCUCGAGAGAGGAGAAGGUUGGAAUCUGAGUCCAUAAACAGCGUUGCUGUGCAGUGAGCAAAGACAGAGCAGGUUGGGCUCUGGAGAGUGUAACCCCACCUCUGCUGCUCCCCUGCCAAUUAAAAGUAAAGAAGAGAAGUGGAGCUUGUUUGUUUUUCCCUCCUGGGCUGGGGAUGCCCCUUUCACAGGCUGGGGAGUUUCUGUCCCGGGAUCCUCCUGGGACACACAGUGGCUCCCAGCUGGCCUGGCCCUCUGGGACCUGCCGAGAGCGUUUCUGUCCCGGGAUCCUCCCGGGACACACAGUGGCUCCCAGCUGGCCUGGCCCUCUGGGACCUGCCGAGAGCCAAUUCCCAUUCCACCAGCCAGACAAUUCCCAUUUCUGCCCCAAACCACCGGCCCAGCCCCUUCCACUGCCAUAAACGUGGUGCCAGUGCGCGCCCCCGUGUCCUGUCCAGCUGUGAGCUGUGCUCUCCUCCUGCCGGCAGGGAGGAUCGGCUGAAAGCCGGCAGCACUGCAGGGGGGUUAACUUGGAUUUAAAGAGGUUUUCUCUGGUUUGCAGAAAGCAGGUUAGGGUGGUGGUUACUGGGGGUGGUAGUGAGGUGCUGCUUCCUCCAGAGCAUUUCUUCUGAGCAUUGUCACAUCACUGCCAGUGUCCACACUGACAGCUCAGAAAACGGGGAUAAAUCAGUCUGACACACACUGGCGUUUCAUUUUAUACCGCCCAGCGCCUGAUCCUGACUAAAGCUCCUUCCCAGUCUUGUAAUGCUGAUCCCUGGUAACCCAGGGCAGUCCCCAGCGGUGAAUUACACACGUCCAGAGCAUCAUUUACUCUCCCACCUUCACCCACCAGAGCAGAGAGCACUUUUCUGCUCCUGGGGCCGCAGGGGUGAGCCGCGAUGUGCCGUGGGCAGCCCGGGGUGAUGGGUGUGCCCCGGGCAGGGAGGAAGCGCUGCCGGGGCUCCCGCAGCCGCUCCCUCCCCACCACAGCUUUUAUCCCUUCACCUUUCCUUUCCGACUCACUGAGCAACAACUGUCAUGUUUAUACUCUUCCCCCCCAGUCCUGCUCUGCUUCAAGGAUUAAGCUUUCAUCCUUCAUUAUGAGCUUCUCCCCCGGGCAACAUUUUCCACGAAGAAAAAGGAAUUUCUGGGAUUUUGCUUUUAAGAGAUUAUGCUACUAAGCACGUGUGUGUUUGUGCCGAGGUGAGGAGCUUUCCCGCGCACACGGGUGAUCUCCCGUCCUGGGGUGCUGCGGGGGGACAGCCCCUGGUGCUGCCUGGCCCUGGCACUCGUGCCCUUCCUCCCCUGUAGCUCCUGCGUCCUCCUCUCC
rnacentral:lncRNA from 1 species